rnacentral:rRNA from 1 species
AUACGGAGGGUGCAAGCGUUACUCGGAAUCACUGGGCGUAAAGCGCGCGCAGGCGGCUAUUUAAGUUGGAUGUGAAAGCCUACGGCUCAACCGUAGAACUGCAUCCAAAACUAUUUAGCUAGAGUGUGGGAGAGGAAGAUGGAAUUAGUUGUGUAGGGGUAAAAUCCGUAGAGAUAACUAGGAAUACCAAAAGCGAAGGCAAUCUUCUGGAACACUACUGACGCUGAGGUGCGAAAGCGUGGGGAGCAAACGGGAUUAGAUACCCUAGUAGUCC